CCAAUAGCGUAUAUUAAAGUUGUUGCAGUUAAAAAGCUCGUAGUUGAAUUUCGGGAUCAAGGAAUCGGUCAUGCCUUGGUAUGUACUGGUUUUAUUGGUUCUCACCUUCUAAAGAACCAUAAUGUCAUUCAUUUGAUGUUAUGGGGAAUUAGGACUGUUACCUUGAAAAGAUUAGAGUGUUUAAAGCAGGCUUACGCUUGAAUACAUUAGCAUGGAAUAAUGAAAUAGGACAUCAGAUUCUAUUUUGUUGGUUUCUAGGAUCGAUGUAAUGAUUAAUAGGGAUAGUUGGGGGCAUUAGUAUUCAAUUGUCAGAGGUGAAAUUCUUGGAUUUAUUGAAGACUAACUACUGCGAAAGCAUUUGCCAAGGAUGUUUUCAUUAAUCAAGAACGAAAGUUAGGGGAUCGAAGACGAUCAGAUACCGUCGUAGUCUUAACCAUAAACUAUGCCGACUAGGGAUCGGAUGAUGUUUAUUUUUUAGUGACUCAUUCGGCACCUUAC
rnacentral:rRNA from 1 species